rnacentral:snoRNA from 1 species
UUUCAAAGAGUUGAAUUCAGCUUGGGGCAGAUUCCAUGUUCUGUUAAUUAAACUUUGGAGCACUGAAAUUGGCUAAGGAAGACGAUUAGAUAGAAAUAUUACUGUUCCUUUACCUCCCAGUAUACAUGC